GACGAACGCUGGCGGCGUGCUUAACACAUGCAAGUCGAACGAUGAACCCGGAGCUUGCUCCGGCGGAUUAGUGGCGAACGGGUGAGUAACACGUGAGUAACCUGCCCUUGACUCUGGGAUAACUGCGGGAAACUGUAGCUAAUACCGGAUACGACCCUCGGCGGCAUCGCCAGGGGGUGGAAAGAAUUUCGGUCAAGGAUGGACUCGCGGCCUAUCAGCUAGUUGGUGAGGUAACGGCUCACCAAGGCGACGACGGGUAGCCGGCCUGAGAGGGUGACCGGCCACACUGGGACUGAGACACGGCCCAGACUCCUACGGGAGGCAGCAGUGGGGAAUAUUGCACAAUGGGCGCAAGCCUGAUGCAGCAACGCCGCGUGAGGGAUGACGGCCUUCGGGUUGUAGACCUCUUUUAGUAGGGAAGAAGCGAAAGUGACGGUACCUGCAGAAAAAGCACCGGCUAACUACGUGCCAGCCGCCGCCGUAAGAC
rnacentral:rRNA from 1 species